rnacentral:RNase_P_RNA from 1 species
GUAAGCUGGACAGCCGCGCAGGCGGGGCGAAAGGCCCGCAGGUGAGGAAAGUCCGGGCUCCGCAGGGCAAGGAUAACGGGUAACACCCGCCGGGGGCGACCCUAGGAAAAGUGCAACAGAAAUAGACUACCGGCUUUCGGGCCGGAAAAGGUGGAAAGGUGAGGUAAGAGCUCACCCGAUGGCAUGGAAGUGCCCAUCGCUGUAAACUCUAUCCGGAGCAACGCCGUGGAGGGACAUAAGGUCGGCCCGACCGUCCCGGGGAGGCGGCUUGAGCGUAUCGGCAACGGUGCGUCGAGAUAGAUGGCUGUCUUAAACGACAGAACCCGGCUUACAGGCCUGCUUAU